rnacentral:rRNA from 1 species
UACGUAGGGGGCAAGCGUUGUCCGGAAUCAUUGGGCGUAAAGGGCGCGUAGGCGGAUAUUUAAGUCUGAUGUGAAAGCCCUGGGCUCAACCUGGGAAUGGCAUUGGAAACUGGCGACCUAGAGUGCGGUAGAGGGCAGUGGAAUUCCCGGUGUAGCAGUGAAAUGCGUAGAGAUCGGGAGGAACAUCUGUGGCGAAGGCGACUGCCUGGACCAGCACUGACACUGAGGCACGAAAGCGUGGGGAGCAAACAGG